GUGGGGAAUAUUGGACAAUGGGCGAAAGCCUGAUCCAGCCAUCCCGCGUGUGUGAAGAAGGUCUUCGGAUUGUAAAGCACUUUAAGUUGGGAGGAAGGGCAGUAAGUUAAUACCUUGCUGUUUUGACGUUACCGACAGAAUAAGCACCGGCUAACUUCGUGCCAGCAGCCGCGGUGAUACGAAGGGUGCAAGCGUUAAUCGGAAUUACUGGGCGUAAAGCGCGCGUAGGUGGUUUUGUAAGUUGGAGGUGAAAUCCCCGGGCUCAACCUGGGAACUGCCUCCAAAACUGCAUGACUAGAGUACGGUAGAGGGUAGUGGAAUUUCCUGUGUAGCGGUGAAAUGCGUAGAUAUAGGAAGGAACACCAGUGGCGAAGGCGACUACCUGGACUGAUACUGACACUGAGGUGCGAAAGCGUGGGGAGCAAACAGGAUUAGAAACCCCUGUAGUCC
rnacentral:rRNA from 1 species